UGAGGAAUAUUGGUCAAUGGGCGAGAGCCUGAACCAGCCAAGUCGCGUGAGGGAAGACGGUUCUAUGGAUUGUAAACCUCUUUUGUCAGGGAGCACUAAGCCACGAGUGGUGUAAAGAGAGUACCUGAAGAAAAAGCAUCGGCUAACUCCGUGCCAGCAGCCGCGGUAAUACGGAGGAUGCGAGCGUUAUCCGGAUUUAUUGGGUUUAAAGGGUGCGUAGGCGGAAGAUUAAGUCAGCGGUUAAACUGCGGAGCUCAACUCCGUAUCGCCGUUGAAACUGGUUUUCUAGAGUGGGUGAGAAGUAUGCGGAAUGCGUGGUGUAGCGGUGAAAUGCAUAGAUAUCACGCAGAACUCCGAUUGCGAAGGCAGCAUACCGGCACCCAACUGACGCUGAAGCACGAAAGCGUGGGUAUCGAACAGG
rnacentral:rRNA from 2 species